rnacentral:rRNA from 1 species
AACGAACGCUGGCGGCAUGCCUAACACAUGCAAGUCGAACGAGACCUUCGGGUCUAGUGGCGCACGGGUGCGUAACGCGUGGGAACCUGCCCUUAGGUUCGGAAUAACUCCCCGAAAGGGGUGCUAAUACCGGAUAAUGUCUUCGGACCAAAGAUUUAUCGCCUUUGGAUGGGCCCGCGUCGGAUUAGCUAGUUGGUAGGGUAAAAGCCUACCAAGGCGACGAUCCAUAGCUGGUCUGAGAGGAUGAUCAGCCACACUGGGACUGAGACACGGCCCAGACUCCUACGGGAGGCAGCAGUAGGGAAUAUUGGACAAUGGGCGAAAGCCUGAUCCAGCAAUGCCGCGUAAGUGAUGAAGGCCUUAGGGUUGUAAAGCUCUUUUACCCGGGAUGAUAAUGACAGUACCGGGAGAAUAAGCUCCGGCUAACUCCGUG